GCCUCCGUCAUUCAAUGGAUAGGAUACAAGCUUCCGAAGCUUGCCAUAGAGGUUCGAAUCCUCUCGGAGGCA
rnacentral:tRNA from 1 species